rnacentral:piRNA from 1 species
UCNGCUACUUUCUUUAGUCCUAAUCUUCCU